rnacentral:rRNA from 1 species
GACGAACGCUGGCGGCGUGCUUAACACAUGCAAGUCGAACGGAAAGGCCCUGCUUGCAGGGUACUCGAGUGGCGAACGGGUGAGUAACACGUGGGUGAUCUGCCCUGCACUUCGGGAUAAGCCUGGGAAACUGGGUCUAAUACCGGAUAGGAGCCAUUCUUAGUGUGAUGGUUGGAAAGUUUUUUCGGUGUAGGAUGAGCUCGCGGCCUAUCAGCUUGUUGGUGGGGUAAUGGCCUACCAAGGCGGCGACGGGUAGCCGGCCUGUGAGGGUGGACGGCCACAUUGGGACUGAGGGGCGGCCCAGACGCCUAAGGGAGGCAGCAGUGGGGAAGAUUGAACAAUGGGCGCAAGCCUGAUGCAGCGACGCCGCGUGGGGGAUGACGGCCUUCGGGUUGUAAAAUCCUUUCGCUAGGGACGAAGCUUUUUGUGACGGUACCUAGAUAAGAAGCACCGGCUAACUACGUG